CGUUCGCAUGUCCACAAUCUGGAUAUCGGGUAUUUAAGAGUCGGGGAACUCCACUAUAGCAUUCUCCCUUAUUUAUUAUAAUAACGUUGGGUAGCAGAAGAAAUUAGCAAAGCAAUAAAAUAUAUACAUAUAUCUAUGUAUAAUCUUAUAAAUAAUCAGUAUGAACAUCCGAGUCCAUGCGGCCAUGUUCGUGCUGAUGUAUUUCCGUCUGUCUCCGGAACUAAAAGAGUUUGUUUUAGAAGAUUUCCACUACCACUAUAUCACCUACAAUUCUAUCAAUAAUCCAAAAACUUGUCGGUCACGCCCAAUUUAACGCUUUCGAAUCGAAAUAAAAGCAAAAGUGUUUUCUGCCUCAGCACCAAUAUCUAAUUUCUUUUAAAUUAAUGUGCUAGUUUUUCGUUGAAAAUUCCUAUAACAGCUUUAUGAAAUCGUGGACCACUUCUGAUCAAGAACCAACUAUUGCCGCACUUCAAAUCGUGGCUCUGAACUAUAACAACCUGUCCGUUGCCCGUAAGACAUGAAGAACAUAAAUUGGGGAUGAUCCAGAAACCCUUUACAUCUUCAUAAGCAGAGAGGACUACGUGAUUUUACUCUACCAAACUAACGAUGUGCGACAACAGAGGAUUCUACUUGGAGCUAUUAAAGUGAACUUGGACGGACACGUAACGCAAUCCUUGGGACUUCGGAAUGUCGAAGAUUGGUCUACCAUUGAAGAGAAACUAAUUGCAAAAUUCAAGCUUCAAGCACUAAACUGCAAGCUACUGCAGACCUUCAGGGAGACACAUUAUAAAGGAAAUCUGAGAGCAUUCCGCGAAAAGGCGACGUCAAAUCUUGAUUUCGAAAUUUCACCUGGAAGAUAACCAAACUGAAUUUCUUAUUUGUAUUCAAGCAAUCAAAGAUUCCAUUAAAAUACUGAUUAGAAAACUACCAAUACAAUUACCUACUAUUGUGGGUCAUCAUGAUAUUACAGACUUAAGAUCGUUAAUUACUGUUGCAUAAAGUGAGCGUAUUUAUAAAGAACAUACUAAUUUUGAAUUGAAUAAAAUUUCGGAAAUCCGUA
rnacentral:lncRNA from 1 species